rnacentral:tRNA from 1 species
GCCUUUUUAGCGCAGUAGGUAGCGCGUUAGUCUCAUAAUCUAAAGGUCCUGAGUUCGAUCCUUAGACAAGGCC